CAAGCAGUCCGGAUGAUCGCGCGUGCAAGCGCCGCAAGGCGGCAUGUGAGGAAAGUCCGGGCUCCACAGGGCAGGGUGCUGGGUAACACCCAGUGGGGGUGACCCCAAGGCAAGUGCCACAGAAAUGUAGACCGCCCGGCACCGGUAGGUAGCCGGGUAAGGGUGGAACGGUGCGGUAAGAGCGCACCAGCGGUCAGGCGACUGGCCGGCUAGGUAAACCCCACCUGGAGCAAGACCGAAUAGGGAGGCAAUGGAGUGGCCCGCUCCGCCUCCGGGUUGGUUGCUAGAGGCCCCAGGCAACUGGUGGCUCGAGAGAGAUGAUCAUCGCCUUCUGCCGCGAAGGUACAGAACCCGGCUUACAGGACUGCUUGCUUU
rnacentral:RNase_P_RNA from 1 species